GACGAACGCUGGCGGCGUGCCUAAUACAUGCAAGUAGAACGCACAGUUUAUACCGUAGCUUGCUACACCAUAGACUGUGAGUUGCGAACGGGUGAGUAACGCGUAGGUAACCUGCCUGGUAGCGGGGGAUAACUAUUGGAAACGAUAGCUAAUACCGCAUAAUAUUGAUUAUUGCAUGAUAAUUGAUUGAAAGAUGCUAUUGCAUCACUACCAGAUGGACCUGCGUUGUAUUAGCUAGUAGGUGAGGUAACGGCUCACCUAGGCGACGAUACAUAGCCGACCUGAGAGGGUGAUCGGCCACACUGGGACUGAGACACGGCCCAGACUCCUACGGGAGGCAGCAGUAGGGAAUCUUCGGCAAGGGACGAAAGUCUGACCGAGCAACGCCGCGGGAGUGAAGAAGGGUUUCGGAUCGUAAAGCUCUGUUGUAAGAGAAGAACGGGUGUGAGAGUGGAAAGUUCACACUGUGACGGUAUCUUACCAGAAAGGGACGGCUAACUACGUG
rnacentral:rRNA from 1 species